CAGUAGCCGCGGUAAUACGGAGGGGGCUAGCGUUGUUCGGAAUUACUGGGCGUAAAGCGCACGUAGGCGGCUUGGUAAGUUAGAGGUGAAAGCCUGGAGCUCAACUCCAGAAUUGCCUUUAAGACUGCCGAGCUAGCAGGUGAGAGAGGUAAGUGGAAUUCCGAGUGUAGAGGUGAAAUUCGUAAAUAUUCGGAAGAACACCAGUGGCGAAGGCGGCUUACUGGCUCAUACUGGACGCUGAGGUGCGAAAGCGUGGGGAGCAAACAGGAUUAGAUACCCCUGUAGUCCCUGUCUCUUAUAC
rnacentral:rRNA from 1 species